CUGAAACCUUCUGGGAGGAGAAGAGGCCUGACCUUGGCGCUGGGGUCCAGUGGGCAUUGCCCUGGUCCGAGGCUGCUGCUCUUGACCUCUGCUCUGCGGCUGUUUUCCAUUGGAGUAGAGGCUCCUCCUGUCCUGUCCUGCCUGUGGAGGGAAGCAAACCUUCCCCUGGACCAGAGAGAGGAGAAAGUGGAGACAGGUAGCAACGCUGUGGACUGGUGAUGACAGGCUCUUCAGCUCCCUGCAAGUGACCGGGCCUGGGGAACAGGGCAUGGCACAGGCACACAGGACCCCCCAGCCCAGGGCUGCCCCCAGCCAGCCCCGUGUGUUCAAGCUGGUUCUCCUGGGAAGUGGCUCCGUGGGUAAGUCCAGCUUGGCUCUUCGGUACGUGAAGAACGACUUCAAGAGUAUCCUGCCUACGGUGGGCUCAUCUUCCUUCCUGCCUGGGCUUGGUUUACCAGCUUGGCCUGGAUUGGGGGUGGGAAGAUCAUUUUGGGAGUGGGCGGGGAGGGAGACCUUCUCUCUGUGCUUCUUAAAAAGGCUAACCUGUCAUGAAGCUCAGGAGUAACUGUAUGGGGCAUCUGCAGGCU
rnacentral:sRNA from 1 species